CAUUAAAUUUUCAUGAUUUUAGUUACUUAAAACUGUUUCUAAUACAGACCAAUUGACCUGUGACUCUGAUUAAUGUGGCUUCCUUGCAUGAGAGGAGGUAUGGGGAGGAUAUCUUGCAAGCAUUCAUUGGUAUAACUUUAUUCCAAUUGACCCUCCAUCACGAAAGCGGUGUAUUCUGACAGUUCGUCAAUCGAUGUUCUGGGGCUGUGGUGUAGUGAUAUUCAUUGGAAAAUAUAAUAAUUAAGCAUGCAUUUUAGCAUUAAUCUUGAAAAAGGUUGAUAUCAACAGAAAAAUUAUCCAUGUGGGCUGUAUAUUUAAUCUACAACCGAGUUAGUAGGAACCAAGGUGGAGAACCGGCUGCUAUAGAAAUAGUAUAUGUAUCAUUUUCUCAAGUUAUGUCACUAUUUCAUCCUAGACCCAUUCACAUAGUCCCACCUUUCACCACUCAAUCCAAUUAUUCCUGACUAAUAUGGUCUUGUACCGAAAUGCUUCUUUGGGC
rnacentral:lncRNA from 1 species